rnacentral:rRNA from 1 species
UACGAAGGGGGCUAGCGUUGCUCGGAAUCACUGGGCGUAAAGCGCACGUAGGCGGGUUCUUAAGUCAGGGGUGAAAUCCUGGAGCUCAACUCCAGAACUGCCUUUGAUACUGGGAAUCUCGAGUCCGGGAGAGGUGAGUGGAACUGCGAGUGUAGAGGUGAAAUUCGUAGAUAUUCGCAAGAACACCAGUGGCGAAGGCGGCUGACUGGUCCGGUUCUGACGCUGAGGCGCGAAAGCGUGGGGAGCAAACAGG